AUAUUGUACAGUAGUCCCUUCAACAAUAAGUUUCCUGCUCGACUCCAAGUUGAAAAGGAAUUUGGAUUCUCCUGCAAGAAAGAUCAUUAAAGAAGAUUAAUAUCUUUAAGCUCAAGAACUGGCAAACAUUCUGAUAUCUGGACGAAGCAAGGCUGCUG